AUGGGAGAAUAGAUGAUGAUGUGAGUUUAGGUGGAGAUGCCACUGAGUGUAAUGACAAGACAUCUCUUAUUCUGAGUAGGAAAAAAAAGAUGAGGUUUUAAUUUCAGUGCAUCAAGUAGAAAGUAUGCAUGAAAUUCUUCAUAAAACCUCUAAAAGUUGGUAAAAGGAACAGAAGGUCACUAGGAGGUGGGUGUGUGCGCACGUGAGAGAGAGAGAGAGAGAGAGAGAGAGAGAGNNNNNNNNNNNNNNNNNNNNGAGAGAGAGAGAGAGUUCAGAGGACCAAACUCUUAAUAGAGAAAUAGUAUCUUCAAACAAACCAAAUAGUGGACCUGAUGUAUCUCUAGAAAGUAGACACCAUAAAAGAUCAAAAUAUAAACAAAGUUCUGUAAGACCCUCCCAUCUCCUUUUUUAUAGAGUUCUGGCCAUACUAGAUGUGACCCUCCCGUUUCCUUCUUUUUUUUAGCUGAAUGGAGAAUGAUGUCAACAAUUAUUGCUUAUACAGACAUGUAUAAGGUAGUAUCGAUUAAAUGGUGGGCUCAAUUGCAAGAAUUGUGAUGGAGAUGGCUGGAAUUUUUUACUAUUUUGACCUGCAAUUAACCUGAAGCUAUUCACUUGGAGUCUAUUGCAACAUUUUAAAAGCUUUUGUGGGAGCACUUAUUCUUUUAUUGUUUUUGGUUAUUUCCUCUUUCACCAAUGGGAUCUCUUGGAUUGUAUUCUAAAGAAUAAGUAUUCUAUCUUAAAAAAUAAGACAUUCCAUCUUAACCCACCCUCCCCUUAAAAAAAAAAGAAUAAGAAGCCAUGCCAUCACUAUGCACACCUUGUCUGGCUUGGUUUUUGUUAGUCCUGGCAUUUGAAGUAACUGAUAUUGAGAGGUCUUUUUUUCAACAUCUUCAGUGGGAGAUAGCAUAACUGUCGAAGGUAUUUUCACAGAAGCACAUCUGACGAUUUUAUUUCCUGAAUUUUUUAUCUCAUGUGUUCAAAGUGUUUAAAUGCCAAUUAUUCUGGGUGAUUGAGGGAGUCGCAGAUGAACCAUUUUACUGAACUCUGGCUCUUCCGACAUUCCUUAAUAUAGGAAGAUGAAUUCCUAUAUGAAAAGGAAAUUGUAGAUCUUUUCUGUUUAAAUGCUUACUAAUAGUUUCCUAUUCUUGAUAUUUAUGAAAUCUUUUGCAGAUGUCUGAGCAAUUCAACCAGGAGCUAUCUUUAUCCGGAAAAAUUCCCUCAGGCCUUUUCAACCAUAUGUUUGAUUUUUCAGGUUGUUGGCAGAAAAAUGCAGCAGACACCAAAUCUCUUGCAUUUGAUGGGUGGUUCAUUACCCUUUACUCGGUUGCAUUAUCAAAAUCUCAAAUUGUACUUCGUGAUCAUGUUAAGCAAGCUGUUCCAUCAACAUGGGAUCCCAUUGCUUUGGCAAGGUCAGAUAUUCACUUGAUUUAGAUUAAAAGAUGAUUCCAUAUGAGAAUGCUUAAGUACCUGCAUUACCUGGAGAGUGGGGACUCCAAAUUUUGGGUUCUUUGACAUGUCGAACAUUUGGACACUUGGGACAAAUUAUGACACUUCUUGACACAUCAUACCAUCAUAUCUUGAUGCUAUCAUCAUUAGGUGUCUACUUUUGGCACUUCUAUAUGAAAAUUAUCCAGUCUAACAUGACAACCGUUUUAUCAAAUUUAUGAACUUAUGGAGCAUGGAUCUAGCACAAUAUUCAUUAUAUGAGUAGAAUAGUACAUAUUUACUUACACACAUAUAAUAAGAUCCAAAUGCGGACGGUGGACCUGUGUCCAAUUUCAAGAAGAUUCCCGUGUCAUGUGCCCAAGUGUCACUGCUAAGACCAUAAUAUCUAAUGGGAUGACAUGUUCAUUUAUUUAUCUUAGUUUCUUUUUUUGUAGCUAAGAAGUUAUUGCAAUGUUUACUCUAGCAUUCAUAUCCAUGUCUACGGACAUAGUGACCUUUAGAUUUUUGGUGCUUAUCCUUGUUUCUGGUGAAACUUGGGCAUCCUUGAUUGAAAGACUUUUGGGCUGUCAGAAAUCUAGCUGGCAAAUUUAUAUCGAGUUUUGUUUUGGCUGGCAUAUAUAUGACUUCAAGUAGAAUUUUGUUGAUUGGUAUAGUUUGAUAUUAUCAAAGUUCACGCUGUACUUUUUAAAAAAAAUUAUUUUCUAAGAUUCAAUGUAGCAUCAUCCUCAGCCUAAUGUAUCAGUACUAGAAUUUCUUGUUUUUGUGAAGGCUUUAUCUGUGAUGCUCAAUUCCUUAAACUUUCAUAACUUAUUGAAAAAUAUCCAUAGCUAGCAGCUCGAUGCAUUUCACACUCCUUUAUGUUUAAUCUCUCAUUGGCAAUUUACAAGUUUCGGUGUGCUUCAUUUAUUGCUUGUAAUUCCAGGUUUAUUUCAAACUUUGGCACUCAUAUUGUUGUUGGUGUGAAGAUGGGAGGAAAGGAUGUAGUUUAUGUGAGACAACAGCACUCGUCAAGCCUCCAACCUGUUGAAGUCCAGAAAAGGUUGAAGGAGUUGGCAGAUAGGAGAUUUCUUGAUGUAAACGGACAAUAUGAUUUGAAUUCUAAAGAGGCAUAUGGACAGGAUAAGGUGUUUCUUAUUGAUUAUAAAAAGAAAAAUCCCUCUUCUGUUGUGUUGUUUUUUCUGUCUUUCAAGUUAAUGUUAGCUAACACAGUGUAAAAAGGUUCUCGUUACCAAUAUACAUUAUGAGGUUUUCUAGGAGCGAAUGCUUUACACACACACACAUUUUUGUUAUAGGUAUGACUUCUAAUUGAAUCUAAACUGAGAUACUUAGGCAUCAGGAUAUAAUAACAUUUGUAUGAAUAUCUGUGAAUGCAAGGUUAUAUUCUCCCUCCAAACCAACUCAUAAUCAAUUUACAAAUUGGUUUAAAUGGGAAAAUGACUCGUGCCCUCGUGUCUUGCAUUGCCUAAGGUAACAUACAUAUAAGAAUUCACGUCUUGCACUGCAAAAUAACUUCACGUGUACAUAUAUGAGCAUUUGAUUAUUUUUGCUAGUGGAAUAUACUUGCAAGAUGGUCCUCUGGGAGCACUGUGGCACUCAUGCAUAUGUGCAUACUGAUGUAUACACACCUUUGUGUAUAUACAUAUAUACAUGAGAGAGAGAUCUUAUAUUCUUUGUUCUAAGGUUAUAGUUACAUCAUUUUCUUCUGAUUUAGCUGGCUGCUCCCAUGCCCGACAUGGGUGAGGUGCCGUUGUACCAAAAAAAAAACUUUAAUCAAUUUGCAAAAGAAAAUGUUGGCUCCACUUUUUUCAAUUCAUUUUUAAAUAGAUGAAAUAUGAAAAUUCCACAGAGUAAAGAUAGAAGAUUUUGCUGCUCAAGACUUUUCAUUAAAUCUAUAUUAUUCUGCAAAAUAAAAUGGUUGUACACUUGCAAUUAUUUCUUGCAGGCUAUAUUUGCAUUGCUGAAUUAACACAAACAAAAAAAGGUUGGAAUGGGGGGGGGGGGGACAACAUAACAGAACGAACAAUUUUUGUGACAAUUCUGCAGAUCUUAAUGGUCAUCCCUUUUUGUUCAUGUCUCUAGAUACUGAUAGUGCAUGGGUUUUACCGUUACUGGAACUUUUCAUGAUUAUUUAGAGUUUAUCUUGUUGUUGUCCUUUGCAGCUGCAUGUUGUGAAAGAAAAGAUGAAAUUCAUUAUCUAUUCUCCUUUUUUGUGUAAUUUGCUCCCUGCAAAAUCAGAAGUGCAUGAAGAAUUCCUGCCACCACUUGUCUUAAAUUGCAGAUACUCUAAUGCUUGCAGCAGAAUUUAGCAUAUCUUUAUGCUAAAAUGCUAUCUCAACUUUGUAAUGUCUGAUGAAUAAAUUCCCCAGCAUGUAUAGGAGAAACAAACGCAUUUUGACAGAAUAGCUUGUGCAUCUUCAUUUUCCAUUGCAGUUGAUUUUACCAGGCAGUUUGCAACUAAAGUAGACAGUGCAAUAAUGUAACUCUUAGUUGCAUUAUUAACAAUCCAGCAUCAGACUAGAGUAGUUCCUAUUUGGACCUCCUUUCCUUCCACUGAACCAAUUUAAUAUUUUUGUAGCACAGGUUGAUAUCAAAGAGCAACGGCUAAGGUUUGCUAAUAUCAGUUCAUCAAGUUCUUACUCUCCAAAGGAGGUAUUUCCUUUUUGCUUUUGUCAAAAAGCUUUAACCUUAGCUAGUCACACCUAAUAGUUAUUGUGUUUUACUUAUUCAAUUUCAGGAUAUCGUGAAAAUUUUUAAGCGGAGAGGGGGAAAAGAUAAUAAAGGUUUAUCUCAUAAUGAGUGGUUAAACACAGUUCAAUCUGAACCUGAUGUUAUAUCAAUGUCUUUUUUGCCAAUCACUUCUCUCUUAAAUGGAGUUCCUGGUAGUGGAUUCUUAAAUCAUGCCAUCAAUCUAUACCUACGAUGUAAGUAUCAACUGAUGUAAUCUGCACUUCAAUUGUCUUAUAAGACCAGCCUAUGGAUGGAUGUAAGAAUAUGCUUUUGCUUCAGCUUGACAUGACUGACACUCAUUUGGUUCAAUCAUUAACAUUACUAGAAAUUUACUAGCUUAAAGAUGAAACUACUUCCACAUUGGCCUAGUGCUCAAGGUACUACAAGUGAUCGCUGAUUAGUGUAUCAUUUGCACAUUGCAAUUAAGAGUACACAGCAUCUCCUGGUAUUUGUACAUAGAUAUGAGGGGUCGACUUUGAUGUUCCCAGGGCAUAACAAUGUUAUGCUAUGUUUUAGGGCUAUCAAUUAUGGUGGGGCAUCCAAAUAGAUGAUCCACAUAGUAUUUUAGGAUCUACAAUGCAAUGCCUAAAAAAGAUUUUGAUCAGAGUUGCCGUCUUGGUACUAGACCCCAUACCGGUGCCACACUAGCACUGUGUUGGUAUGGUACAAUAUGAGAUCUUUUCAGUAUAUGGAGUGUCGGUGCGCCUCCCAUACCGGAUACCGGUAUCGAACGGGUAUGAUACGGUACGGAGUGUACCAAGGUUCGCUGUACCGGUCGGUACCAGUCGGUACCGAGCGUACCGUACCCGUACCGAUGGGUACCGGUAUCGGUACACCAAUGUCGGUACGGUCAGUACCGAGCGUACGGUACCGUACCGACACUCGGUACACCUAUACUAGUGCGGCACCGGUACGGGGUUCGGUACCGGUACGGCGAACCUUGGAGUGUACCAUCUGGUUUGGCUUGGUACGGCAAAUCUGGUUCUGAUAGUUUGAGACUCAUUAUUUAUGCACGGUCGAACAAAUGAGCAGUUUUUCAUUAAUGGUAGAAAAUAAGUGUUUUAAUUCAUAAAUGAACAGUAUGCAAACCACCAUUUUUUUUUUGUGCGUGCGCAUAUGUGCAUGCACUUUGCAAGCCAUGGACUUCUACAAUGUUUUACUGAAUGAGAAAAGGAAUAAGGUUCUUCCUUUAUUGAUAUCAUUGCCUUUACAGUUGGACAAGCUGCAUUUAUGGGUUUCAAUCCUUUACAUCAAUAUGUACAUAUUUUGAACGUUAAAUACCACAUAGGAAAAAAAUUAAAGAUCAUCUCAGCUGUCACCCCAUAUCUAGCGGAUGUUAGGGUCUUCUGCACUUUGAGAAUGCUGAAUGGAUGAGUUUCUUUCCUACCUUUUGUUCGCAGUUGCAUGCCGUCAGUUGUUAUUCACCUUUUCAGUUAUGUAUCUACCAAUCAUCAAUUAGUAAACUAGAAAAAUAUAUCAUCAUCAUCUUAUUGCCAUUUUUUAAUACUAUUCCUUUUCCUUUAUAUAAUUAAUCUAUUGGUUGCUGUCCUCUAGUGGAUUGCAUGUCAUUGUUCUGACAGCGCAUCUAUCCAAGCAUUAUAAUUAUAGAUAAAGCCUGUAGUCAUUAGGAAAUAUGCUGUAAUAGGCAAUAGGCGUAUUCUGUUUUCCCCCACUACUCUUCAUAAACUGUCUGUAAUCAUUAGGAGGGUUUAAAUGUUGACAUGUGGUUGAUUCUUUUUCUAUGAUCUGAGAGAGGCAAAAGAAGUUUCCUGACAUCUAAUUAUGUAUUCAAUUCUGAGUUGUCUGAGGCUCUUUAUCAUCACAUGUUACAGAUAAUGUGCAUAUAUUGUGUUUUGAUUUUUAUAAUUAUUGCCCUCCUUGUUUCAGAUAAGCCACCGAUAGAAGAACUUCAUCAGUUUCUGGAGUUUCAAUUGCCAAGACAAUGGGCACCUUUUUACAGUGAUCUUCCCCUUGGUCCUCAGCGAAAACAACAGAGUAGUUCUUCUCUACAGUUUACCUUCAUGGGUCCAAAGCUCUAUGUUAACACCAGUAUGGCAAGUAUUCAAUUUUAUCAAGUCUGUAGGUUCUUGGUAGUAAUUAUUAACCUCCAUAUUGCAUUAUCACUGACCUCAUUCAGAGCUUCUACAAAACAUUAAAGAAUGGAAGGUUUAUGUUAGGCUGAUUCUCAACCUGGUUAAGUAGGCUUAAGUGAAUGCAGUAAGGAGAUGUUUUGAUACAGAAACAUGCUGUGCAGGAACAAUGUUGCUGCUGCUAAAUAGGCUCAUUUAUCUCUUUCAUUAAUGGUGCCCAUUGUCGUUUAAGAUUAGGGGUUUUCUGAAUGUCCAGUAGUUGUGGGGAUUGACGUGGUUGUACCAUUGCCUAGAGCGAUAAUCACAUCUCAGGCUUGGGAUGGCUUGACCUGAACUGAUCAAUGCUUUUCUGGUGAUCAUGACACCACUGCUUUUUUUCCCCCCUUCCCUUUUGUCUGCGCACUUUGUGUGGGGAGAGAGUGAGAGAGAUUGCUUGGUAUCUGCACUCUCUCGCGGUUGGCUGCUGGGAAACCAGACAGGAUGCCUUAAACUUCUCAUCAUCGCAGCUUCAAUCUCUCCAUGAGAAGAAAGAGCGGAACAUGAAUUGGCUGCUGAAAGGGGAGGAAGAACGAGGACAGGAGGUUGGUGGGGUAUCGACAGGAAAGGAGAGGAAAUACCAUCUGAUCAGUGAGGUAAAGCAAAGAAGGGGGGAGAGGGAGGUGGAUUGACUUGGUAAAGGGGAGAAGAGAGGGUGUUGGGUUGUCUGGGGAAAGGAGAGGCCAUAGGGUUACAAUUUUACGUAUAUUAUAUUGCAUUAUAUCAUUUGACCUUUAAAAUAUCUGUGCCAGGUUGGCCAAACUACUUAAGGCCAAGUAGGUCGGGUAGCCAUCCCAAGGUCUGAUGCUUGGUUAUUAUACCAAAUGAUUUCUUGUACAAGGGUAGCAAUAUGAAUUGGAGCCUUCCAAUCAUCUAAGAAGAGGAGACAGAAGGCAAAGAAUGGAGGGAACAGAGGUUGCUGAUCCUGCAAUCAUAAUUAAACACUCUUGAAAUUAAUUGCAAUAUCUUGUAUACAGAUUACAGUUGCAGUGGGAAAGUCCUACAACUCAUAUCACCAGAACCUCAUCCAACAUAUUAUUUUCUCUCUGCCUUGAAUAUACAGGAUAUCCCUCCUAUAUUUUUACGUUAUCUUGGAUAUUUAGGGUUUUUGGAAUGUUCCCUUCAGCUUCUCCCAUCUUUAGUAACUUCCAUGAUGAGAUAUUUUCUACUUGAAUAAAAUGAUUAAACAGCACGCUAUCUUGGAUAGCUUGCAUGACAUCUUAGCACCCCUAAAUUCUCUUUUAAAAGCCUGUCUUAUGAACAAAAAUAGGUCAGAAUCUAAAUUUUGAUCAUAACAGUGUGUUUCUCAAAACAACCACUCGGUUCUCCUCAAGAGUCAGCAAGAAUGUUUUUGCACACAGGCAGUCAAUGUUCAAUUGCAGGUCAAGUCUUAUUUGAGACUAAUACCUUAAUAUUGUUCAUCAACAGUUUCCACGACUUGAUUAAUUCAAUUUUGGUUCCAAGAUUUUAGAUCUGACAUUAUCGAUUACAUGACAAAGUAGGAUCUGCGUAGCCAGCCUUUGAUUUAAGUAGUAAGUCUUUUGUUUUAUGUUUCCAAGCAAGUCUGUUAACAUAAUGCUGUCCAUAUGGAAGCCUGUGUGUAGUCUGUAACAUAUGUUGGAUGCUUUCAUCAGAUAGUCCAGCUCCAAGAUCCUCCCACAUUUCAGUCUCAGCAUAUGAUUGUGGGAUUUUUUUCCUUUUUAAUAUCUCAUUGCUUCUGAAUUUAUAUUUGUUGCAGGUUGAUGCAGGCAAGAAGCCAGUCACUGGUCUUCGGUUAUACCUGGAAGGGAAGCGGAGCAACAGAUUAGCGAUCCAUCUCCAACAUCUUUCCUCCCUUCCUCAAAUCCUCCAGCUCCAAGAUAACUCUAGCAGUUUCUUCCCCCGUGAACCAUAUGACCGCAGGUACUACGAGCCAGUUCAGUGGAGACACUUUUCUCAUGUCUACACUGGUCCAGUUGAGGCCGAUGAUGAUUCUUCCAUUGUCACCGGGGCUCGGUUACAUGUCGGUCAUCAUGGGCUCAAGAAAGUCCUCUUCCUCCACCUCCAUUUCUCGACAGUUUCAAAUGCUGUGCUGGUUAAGAAUCCUGAGUGGGAAGAAUCUCCAAACUUGGUCCAGAAAUCUGGCCUCAUCUCAACACUGAUCAGCACUCACUUCUCAAUGGCUGCCCAGAAGCCACAGCCCCGUCCUGCAGAUGUAAACAUCAACUCAGCAGUGUAUCCUGGCGGCCCUCCAGUUCCGGUGCAGACUCCAAAGCUGCUUAAAUUUGUUGAUACAACGGAGAUGGUGCGCGGCCCACAGGACUCCCCGGGUUACUGGGCGGUCUCAGGUGCAAAGCUGCAUUUGGAGAGGGGUAAGAUAUCGCUAGGGGUCAAGUAUUCGCUUUUGACAACAGUGCUACCAGAUGAAGAGUUAUAGUUGGAAGAAAGAGAAGAAAGGAGCAAAACUGGUCCGGUAAAAUCAAUGCCCCUUUUAAAUACACAGGUGGAUGGAGAAAUUCUAAAAAGAAAAGCUGCUUCAAAGUGGUCAUCGGGGAGCAUUGGAUGUUUCACUGGUGGGUGUUUGUAAUGUAGUAAGUAAUACAGCUUCUGUAAUUGUUUUGAACUAUGAUUUGUUUGUCGUUUUAAAUCCAAUGCUCGAUUUCGAUAUUCAGACAAGGAAAUUGCCCUUCCAAAACUGACAUUCUAGCAUUGUAGACACUCUUCAUUGGUUUAAGAUGUGAAAGUCUAGAACAGGGUCGUAUUUUGUGAUGGAAAGCUAGUUAUGGAGAUUACAGCAUUAGCUAAUGAGCCUAUGGGGGAUAGCAUCUACCCUGGCAUUGGCUGAGCAGUGAGAUUGGGAAGAGGAUAUGAGUCACAAUGUAGUCAGCUGCUUGGCAGAAAAAAACUGGAUCGAUUGUCGUCUAGUCUUCGACAGUAUCGAUUGGGAGUUUCAAAGAAAAAAAAGAAAGGAAAANNNNNNNNNNNNNNNNNNNNNNNNNNNNNNNNNNNNNNNNNNNAAAGAUGCAUAAAGACCUAGAAGAUCUUCUAGCUGUGCCUGUCAUCAAAACAACAGUUAAAGAUUCCAAGCCGUUUCUGCAUUAUAAGAUUAGGAACCAAUGAUCAUAACCAUUCGUGCAACUUAAAAGCUUCUAAGAUCAUUUUAAAUUUUUUGAUCGUUCGUAUCUAAAAACAAAAGGAGUCGUCUAUUAUAAAUCAACCUGUCAAAUGUAAAUGUAAUGUGCAUUUGUUAAACUGUUCAAAUUUCUAUUAGUAAAUAUGUUAAUUAGGCCUAACCAUCCCUUUGCAAAUUAAUCUGGGCCUGGACUUGGGAUUGUUUCCGAGGAGGAGUGGUCGGGGUCAUACUUUCACAGGGUCUGGUUCUCCUUGUCUCACUAGGAGAAGAAAACAAAGUAGACCAACUUAUACAGUUCCACAAUUAACGGAUCAGACGGAGGAACGCAGCAUCUGUACUUUCACUUAGGAACCAAAACCAGCUGGCACGGCGAGUAGUAAUUGUUGGGGGAAAAAUGGAUUGCCUAAAACACGUGGAUACACCGCUGGCAUGGGAUGACGAGCGCAACGGCAGCAACCCUCAAGGCGCCCGACCUCAGAGCUCGCUGCCAUACGGCCUUAGUCUCAGUUAAGCUGAGCCCGAUCGAUCUCAAGCUCAAAGGAGACCCAGUCAAAGGACGAAGUAGACCUCUCCACUCCAUCGAAAAUUAAGCCCCUCUCCUCCUCAUACGGGGUCCAAUCCCGUGAUCUCCGCCCCAGCGACUGUCAACAAUUGAAUGCGCACGAUCUCAACGGAUCUCUAGCCAGCCCAAAAUCUCAGGCUAUUCACGGCAGCCCAUUAAUUCACACGAUCUCGUCCAAUCAUCCACAACAACUCAUUAAUUCGCACAGUCACGUCCAGUCACAGGUAACCCCUACACCCCUCUUAUAAAAAGGGGACAUUUUCUUCUGAAAAGCAGACUCUUCUCUUUCCGUGCAAUUUCUCUAUUUGCUCCACAAAAGCCCCCUCUGACUUAAACAUCGGAGGGUCGGUGCCGGAAACCCCGGCCACUAGCUUCUUGCAGGUUCCCCGGAGGACGUAGUCCGUCAACGCACCACUUGCCGGAGCUCCUCCUCCUUAGCCCACGGUCGCCCCUGGAUCCAAUUUCCAGCAACAGUUGGCGCUAGAGGAAGGGCCCGAGUCGUGACCAUGAAGUUAAUGAGUAAAGGAGCCUCCAACACCUCUCGGCGUCGCGCGCCAAGUUCUGGCCACUCAGUCUAGAACCCACCACCAAGGCCUCCGGCGGAUCUAGCUCCCUAAGUCUAGGCGGAACAGUUCAACAUACUGGUGCAGCAAGUCCAGGCCCUGGCAGUGGCAGUCCAAGGCCUGCAAUGCGUGGAGGCCCCUCCUGUGCCGCCUCCGCAGAUCCCGGUCCGAUCGGCACUCCUUCCAGAUGGACCGGUGUUCCAAGGCCAAGGUCCCCAUGACUCUUCGAGGGUCGACCAUGAAGGACGACGCUGUUACCAAGAAUCAAACCGAGCGUCUCCUUCGAGGGAGCAGCUAUGAAAGAAUCAGUAUAAAAGGCCCCAACUCUUGGAGGUCGAGUCGGCCCCGGAUUAACUGGUACCGGGGCAGACCGCCGUGGCAGUCUCCCAAGGCGGAGAACUCGACAAGAAGGUCGAGAAACUCGAGCACCAGAUCGAGGCGCUCCAGGACCGGAAGGCAAGGUGUGAGGGUGAUUUUGAGUUCACUACCAAGUCACCCUUCUCUCGCCAGAUUAAGGACGAAUCAGUCCCGCCGAGGUUCAAAAUGCCUCAGAUAGAGCCUUACAAGGGGACCACCGACCCCCUGGACCACUUGGAGAGCUAUCGAGCCCUUAUGGCGUUGCAGGGGUCCUCGAAGGCUGUGCUCUGCAAGGCUUUCCUUGCAACCCUCCGAGGAACGGCUUGGCUCUGGUUCUCAGGCCUGAAGCCGAGCAUUGUGUCCUCUUUUGAGCAACUUGGCAGGCAGUUUGCUGCCAACUUUGCUGCCAGCCGACGCCAGCGGCGAACGUUGGACUCUAUCCUCGAUAUCAACUAAAAAGAAGGAGAGUUCCUUAAAGACUAUAUCGACCGUUUCACCGCUGCAACCUGCGAGGUCUGUGAGCUCGAUCAGUCGAUCGCUAUGUCCGCACUGAAGACAGGAGCUCGGUCCUACAGGUUCCUCUUCUCCAUCGAGAAGAAUUUUUCUACCGACUUUACCGAGAUGCUGGCCCGAGCUCGAAAAUAUGCAAAAGCCGAGGGGGCCAUCACCUCCAUGCGGGGCGCGGUUGAGCAGGCCCUAAAAGGGCAGAAAAGGCGCCGCGAGGAGAGUGGUUGCCCGAGAAGUCGGUCUCCCCGCCGAGAGAAGAACCAGCCUCGCUUGAGGACUCCGCCUUGCUAGCAGGCGCAGCGCCGACCGAGGUUCUCGCCUCGGCGGAGAUCCCCGCCUCGGCCAUGGAUGCCCCCGGGAAGGUAUAAGAACUAUACUCCUCUUAAUGCACCCCGGGCAGAGAUCCUUAUGGAGAUAGAAGGCCGAGACUAUUUCCGACCUCCACCCCCAAUGCGAGAGUCAGAAACCCGGCAACACUUUUUUUUCCUUCCCAGGAUCGACCAGCUUGUCGACUUCACCUCGGGACACCAGUUGCUGAUCUUCAUGGAUGCCUUCUCGGGGUACAAUCAGAUCCAUAUGGAGCCCGAGGAUGAGGAGAAGACAGCUUUCAUCACAGACAAGGGUCUCUACUGCUACAAAGUGAUGCCAUUCGAGCUGAAAAAUGCCGAAGCAACAUAUCAAAGGCUGGUCAGCCAAGUCUUUAAAGAUCAGAUAGGCCGAAAAAGGCAGUCAAGGAGGUACAACGACUCACCGGACGAGUUGCUGCCCUGGGAAGGUUUGUUGCCAAGUCAGCCGAACAAUGCUUCUCAUUCUUUAAAAUCCUGAAGAAGCCGAAGGACUUCCUAUGGUCGGAAGAGUGUCAACAAGCCUUUGAAGAACUCAGACGCCAUCUUGCCUCCCCUCCAUUGCUCACAAAGCCUCAGCAAGGCGAGCUCUUUUACCUGACCGUCUCCCCGGUGGCGGUAAGCUCAGUCCUGGUCCGAGAAGAAGAUAAGUCUCAAAGACUAGUAUAUUACACCAGCCGAGUCCUGAGGAACGUCGAGAUCCGAUACUCCAAGUUGGAGAAGACAAUCUAUGCACUGCUCAUCUCAGCCAGAAGGCUUCGAUCUUACUUUCAGGUCCACAUUGUGGCCAUAUUGAUCGACCAGCCUAUAAAGCAAGUCCUGCAACGGUCGGAUCACGCGGGGAGAAUUGCAAAGUGGGCGGUCAAGCUUGGGGAAUUCGACCUCGAAUUAUGUCCAAGGCCGGCAAUUAAGGCCCAAGUGCUCGCUGACUUUAUUGUAGAGUGCACUCUACCGGAUGAUCCCGAGCUCACACCAAUAGAGGAGAUCCCGAGGCAACCAUAGGUUCUACAAGUGGACGGCUCCUCGACCUUGGAGGGUAGCGAAGCAGGCCUCAUCCUCACUAGAUCGGAUGGGAUGGUUGAGAGCAGGCCCUAUGUUUCGAGUUAUCCGCCUCAAAUAAAAGAAGCAGAGUACGGGCGUUCAUCGCCAGGCUGAGGUUGGCAAAGGAGCUGAAGGUCGAGAGCGUAAAGUUCUUCAGUAACUCCCAACUGGUUGUGAGCCAGAUCUCGGAAGAUUUCGAAGCGAGAAAGCCGUCAAUGCAGAGGUACCUUCAAAAGGUACGAGAUAUCACAUCCAUACUAGGCUUCUUCGAUAUUCAGCAUAUUUUCAGAGCAGAGAACGCGAGGACAGACCAGCUAUCAAAACUGGCAACCUUCUGUAUGAGCGAGCUCCCGAAGACCACAUCGUUCGAGUACUUCGAAGCACCCAGCAUCGAUGAGCCUGAACCCGUUCUCUGCAUCGAGACCGAAUCGAGCUGGAUAGACGCGCUCGUCAACUACCUGCUAAGCGAAAUCCUCCCCGACAACGAGCUCGAAGCCCGCUGGAUCAAGCGUCAGGCUUUUCGAUACCUCUCGUACGAAGGCAAGCUCUACUGUAGGUCAUUCACCUCUCCUCUCCUUAGAUGACUCCGCCCUUCAGAGGCGGAUUAUGCCAUGCGAGAGGUCCAUGAAGGAAUCUGUGGGAAUCACCUAGGGGGUCGGGCCCUGGCCCACAAAAUUCUACGCCAAGGAUAUUAUUGGCCUACACUUCAAAAAGAUGUCGUGGACUUCGUCCAAAGGUGCGAUAGGUGUCAGCGAAACGCCAACAUUCAGCGCCGAUCUUUAGUCCCACUGACCUCGAUCAGCGCCCCCUGGCCAUUUGCCCAAUGGGGGAUCGACAUCUUGGGUCUAUUUUCGCAGGCCACCGGAUAAAGAAAGUUUCUUAUUGUCUCCAUCGGCUACUUUAUCAAAUAGGUUGAAGGUGAACCGGUAGCCCAAAUCUUCAAGCCGAAAAUGCGGGACUUCGUCUGAAAAUCAAUAAUCUGCAGGUUCGGGCUCCCCCGUAUUCUCAUAUCCGACAACGGCCGCCAGUUUGACAAGGCCCGCUUCAGGAAGUUCUGCUCCGAGCUCGACAUCGACUAUCGUUUCACCUCAGUCGCUCAUCCGCAGACGAACGAAAAAACCGAGGUGAUAAAUCACACCAUCCUUUAGAGGCUCAAAGCCAGACUCGACCGAUCCAAAGGGCAAUGGAUUGAAGAUAUUUACAAUAUUCUCUAGGCCUACAGAACUACAUUCCGACUCCCCACCGGCGAAACCCCCUUCAAUCUGGCUUACGAAACGGAAGCCGUCAUUCUCUUGAAAAUCGGGCUCCUAUCACUAAGGGUGGAGAACUAUGAUGUAGCCUCCAACCUAUCCCACCUCAGAAAUAACUUGGGUCUCCUUGAGGAAAUAAGGAAGAUCGCUCGAAUCCGGAUGGCAAGAUAUCAACAGAAAGCGGCGCAGUACUACAACUCCUGUAUAAAGGUCAAACUCUUCAAGGUGGGAGAUCUUAUCCUGAGGAAAGAUGAAGCUUUCCAACUUACCGAGCAAGGAAAGCUUGCCCCAAACUGGGAGAGGCCAUACUGAGUUGCUCGAGUCCAGCAGCUCGGAGCGUACAAGUUGGAGUCUCUUGAAGGGAUCUCCAUUCUCCGAAGCUGGCACUCCGAAAAUCUUCGAAUGUAUUAUUAGUAAAGCCCCCCUAGGGGUCUUCCGUAUUUGAGAACACAACCAAUAGAGUAUUUCUCAAGUCUUCUCCUAAUUAUUCAACACCUCUUCUAAUGUUAAUCUACUUGCAGACUCCAGGAUACCCUUAAGAUGAUUCAAGCCCUUGAGGGAACUUGGCGAUCCUCGACAAAGUUCGGGAUGCUUCACCGCGUCAACUUCAAGCUCGAUUUGCAUCUCCAACAAGACCUGGACCAAGCUCGGGAUGCCUCGACCAAGUUCGGGAUGCCCCGCUGAGCCGACCGUGAGCCAAGUCUCCCUCGGUCUCGGGAAGCAUCGCAAUGUCGACCGCGAGCUCAAGCUUCCGAGACCUUGCGCAUGAUCCUCCGACAAAGGUCGGGAUGCCCCGCUGAGUCGACCGCGAGCUAAAUCUCUCUCGGCCUUGGGAAGCAUCAUAGAGUCGACCGCAAGCUCAGGCUCCCUCGACCUCGCGCAUGAUCCUCCGACAAAGCUCGGAAUGCCCCUUUGAGUCGACCGCGAGCCAAGUCUNNNNNNNNNNNNNNNNNNNNNNNNNNNNNNNNNNNNNNNNNNNNNNNNNNNNNNNNNNNNNNNNNNNNNNNNNNNNNNNNNNNNNNNNNNNNNNNNNNNNNNNNNNNNNNNNNNNNNNNNNNNNNNNNNNNNNNNNNNNNNNNNNNNNNNNNNNNNNNNNNNNNNNNNNNNNNNNNNNNNNNGCAUCGCAGAGUUGACCGCGAGUUCAGGCUCCCUCAACCUCGCGCUUGAUCCUUCGACAAAGCUCGGGAUGCCCCGCUGAGUCGACCGUGAGCCAAGUCUCCCUCGACCUCGGGAAGCAUCGUAGAGUCGACUGUGAGCUCAGGCUCCCUCGACCUUGCGCAUGAUCCUCCGACAAAGCUCGGGAUGCCCCGCUGAGUCGACCGCGAGCUAAGUCUCCCUCGAUCUCGGGAAGCAUCGUAGAGUCGACCGCGAGCUCAGGCUCCCUCGACCUCGCGCAUGAUCCCCCAACCAAGCUCGGGAUGCCCCGCUGAGUCGACUGCGAGCCAAGUCUCCCUCAGCCUCAGAAAGCGUUGCAGGGUCGACCGCGAGCUCAGACUUCCUCGACCUCAUGUGUGAUGCCUCGACCAAGUUCGAGAUGCCCUGACUAAGUUCGGGAUAUACCGCUGCGCCAAUUUCAUUCCCCGAUCUCCAUCAACCUCAAGUUUCUCCAAACAGAGAUGCCCGACCAAGUCCGGAAGCUGAGCCCAAAGACUUGACAAAAUUCUUCCGGAAGCUGAGUCCAAAGAUUUAGCGGGAUUUUUUCAGAAGCCGAGCCCAAGGACUUAGCAGAAUUUCACCGAAAAAUACCAGAAUCACCUAUGGAAGCGAACGAUGCGCGGAGUUCAAUUCAUGUUGAAGACAGGAGUUCGUUGAUUGCACAAGUAAAAGCCAACACAAACACAAAGAGAAAUUAUAGAAAGCAUGCAUUUUAUUGAUAAAAAGCCCCAAGGCUGAGUACAAAGUUUGAUCUGAAGGUCGACCCACAUAGUUGAACAAUAACAGCAAUGGCCGACCUCACUUAUAAAAAGAAAUGAGAAAAAGGCUAACUCCUAAGGCAUCUCUGGAACAGCAGUAGCCUCGGCAUCGACCUCGAGGUCAUCCACGACGAUCACGUCAGGAUUCUCAGUAGAAGCCGCCCCAGGGUCCUCCACUGGUCCGUCUCCGCGAGCAUCCGCGGUGGCCUCGGUCUCGGCCUUGGCAGUCUCCUGUUUGGCCUCAGGGCUUGCAGGCGCACUGCCGAUCGCACCGUCGUCCUCAGGACUCCCGGGCUCGCUUUCAUCCUCGAUGAUCCCCAAACGAGGCUAAAGUUUGUGGAGGUCGAGCUUGGGACAAAUCCUCAGUAUCUGCCUUCGAAAAUCCUCGAAGCCGCGGAUGAGCCCGUCCACCGUUUCCUCCUCUAUCAGCUCACGGAACUCUUCCGACUCCCGAAAGAUUUGCACCACGUUCUGGGCUUGCUCCAGCGCCAUCCUUUCUCGAGCUUCGAGUUACUCGAUUUUCAGCCGAAGGACCCCUGCCGCAUACUUGUGGCCGGCGAUCUCGGAGCGGGCGCGCCUUAGAGGCGCGGAGCUCCGACCUGGCCAAAGCAUGCGAGGCCUUCUCUUCUUCGAGGUGCUCAACUCGGCUUCGGCAGCUUCCAUCCUUGCGGUGGCCUCCCUCCGCGCGGCCUCGGCCUCACCGAGCUUUUUCUCAGCAUCCUCUUGCCCCCUCUAGCUCCUCCGAGCCUUGUCCUGACAUUCGGACGCCACGGCGACCAACAUGUCGACUUCGUGAAGAUGCUGUAAAGAAGGAAAAUGGGGGUGAGCAGAGGUCAAAAGUUCAAAAGGAUAUGAAAGUUAAAGCAAGAAACGAACUUACCUGAAUGGUGGAGCAGUAGGUUUGAUCGACAAGGCCGCUGAUAUUGGUAGCCUCGAACUCAGCUCGGUCGACCGGGAGCAGCGCACAACGGAACACCUGACGCGCAAUGUUGCUGUCAUGGAGGGCCGAGUCAUUCUCGUAGACUGACCACUCCGGGCAAAAGGGCCUCUAGCUCCCGGCUCUCAACGAGCUCGGGACAUCGGCCCUUGAAGAGCUUGGGAGGUUGGGCCUUGCUGAGCUCGGCAGAGAAGAGCUCGGGACCCCGAGAUCGCUGCCCGGCUCGGAACCCGAGCGCCGCAAGCGAACACCUGGCGACUUGGUCGCUGAGAAAUGGGGGCCGGGCAAGCUGGGGCCGCAGGAUCCCUCGCGCCUGUGGAAGAGCUCGCGCGCUCGGCGGGGGGAGCUUCCUUCCAGAUGAACUUAGAAGUCCCGGCCUCAGGGUCCCCCACCUCGACGAGAGCAGGAGUCGAGGCCGGCUUAGCCUUCUUCCUGGGCACGGGUUGAGCCCCGCCAGCCUUGGCUACCCUCUUCUUGUACUUGGCGAGGAGGGCUGCAUUGCUGGUCACCAUCUCUGCAACGUCGAAAAGGGAGAAAGAGCUCAAGUGUUAGAUAGUGAAAAGGAAAACGAGCAAAGCAAAGGACGGCGAAAUAGGGGAGAAGUAGUGCAACCGCCCUUACCCUCGGAGCGCGCCGAGCUCAGGCCAACGUUCACCAAGGCCUCCUCGCUUAGAAGGUCGUUUAGAAGAAUGUCUCCCCCGAGGCUACGAAGAGCAUCAAGAAUCCUCUGCUCGUUCGCCGAAAGCUUGGGGGGCUUGUUGAUGGCCCUGAGCCAGGGCUGCCCCCACGACGGGUCAAAUUCCCAUGUGCGCUCGGAGGAGAGGAAGAAAAAUUUCUCCUUCCACCCACGAAUGGAGGAAGGAGUACCUCGGAAGAACGACCUACCGCUCUGGAGGGAAAGGUAAAGCCACUCUUUGUCCACGGGGUUGGAUUUCAGCAUGAAACACCAACGGAAGACGUUUACCGAGGCCGAUAUCCCGUGCGCGAGGCAAAGGGAUAAGAAUCCAAAAAUGGUCCUCCACGAGUUCGGAACGAGCUGCGCUGGGACGAGCUUGUAUGCUGCCAGGAGCUCGUUCACGAACCUGUGCAAAGAGAACCACAGGCCGGCCCAGAAUGUCUCUACGUACACUCCGAUCCGACUCGGAGGACGUCUAGUCACCCGGUCUUCCAGUCUCGCAGGCUCCAGGUGGAACCUGCGUUAGGGGAAGAACCGGACCCGGAUCAUAUCCAAUUCCUCCUCGGCCAAAUUUGACCCGACUCCGUUUGGGCCGCGGCCCAUCUCUGAUGCGACCUCUCUCCUAUGAGGAAGAUCCCUACCGGAAGAUGAAGCACCGCCUGACAUUGUCGUACUCACGGGAUAGAGGAAAAUAAAGAAGGAAGAAAGAAAGGAAAAAUGACGGCCCUCCGAGCAAACGUGGGUAGAAGACCUACUGUGGAUUUCGCCGAAAGCGUCGACGGCCGAAAGUGAAGGAUCGAGGUGAUCGCCGAAAAAUGCCUCGAAGCGCCGCCGGGGAAAACUAACAACGAUCGGAAGAAAAGGGGAGAAGAAAGUGGAAGAAGAAAAAGGCAACAGCUGUGGCGGCCAAAUGAGAGCUUUCAGGGCCAAGCCAGGGUUUAUAUAGACCCCCCUGAUGGCUCGGAUCGAUAGAGUCAAAUCGCGCCUCCCGUCUAGAUCGUGCCACGUGUCAGCCUCGGAAACCGAAACGGCGUAUCAACUUGGAUCAACGCUUUAAAAGUAGAAUCGAAGCGGCGUCUCGUCGGAUUCCGAAGCCUCAUCAUGAGCCCACGGCUCGAAAUUGCCUCGAAAAGCAAAAGGGUGUUGCCUCGUGCUCUCAUUAAAGAUGCCCCGAAGCGCGUGGAACGACGGAGCAAUUUAAAGCUGUCUGAUCCCACCAACAUGAUAAAGACAAUUACUUCCUUCGUCCGAGCUUGUAAGCGGCUCGAACUCGUAAGUCGGAGGAUAGUAUUGGGGGAAAAAUGGAUUGCCUAAAACACGUGGAUACACCGCCGGCACGUGAUGACGAGCGUAACGGCAGCAACCCUCAAGGCGCUCGACCUCGAGAUGCUCGACCUCAGCAUGCCCGACCUCAGCGUGCCCGACCUUAGCACGCCCAACCUCAGAGCUCGCUACCUUAUGGCCUUAGUCUCAGUUAAAUUGAGCUCGAUCGACCUCAGGCCUAAAGGAGACCCAGUCAAAGGACGAAGUAGACCUCUCCACUCCAUCGGAAAUCAAGCCGCUCUCCUCCUCAUAUGGGGUCCAAUCCCGCGAUCUCCGCCCUAGCGACUGUCAACAAUUGAAUGCGCACGAUCUCAACGGACCUCCAGCCAGCCUAAAAUCUCAGGCCAUCUACGGUAACUCAUUAAUUCACACAAUCUCAUCCAAUCAUCCACGGCAACUCAUUAAUUCACACGAUUUCGUCCAAUCAUCCACGGCAACUCAUUAAUUCAUACGAUCUCAUCCAAUCAUCCACGACAACUCAUUAAUUCGCACAGUCAUGUCCAGUCACAGGUAAUCCCUACACCUCUCUUAUAAAAGGGGGACAUUUUCUUUUGAAAGCAGGCUCUCCUCUUUCCGUGCAAUUUCUCUAUUUGCUCCACAAAAGCCCCCUCUGACUUAAGCAUCGGAGGGCUGGUAUCGGAAACCUUGGCUACCGGCUUCUUGCAGGUCCUCCGGAGGACGCAGUCCGUCGACACACCACUUGCCGGAGCUCCUCCUCCUCAGCCCACGGUCGCCCCUGAGUCCAAUUUUCAGCAACAGUAAUAGUAUUAGAAAAGCUUCAAAUGACUUCUAUAUGGAGUAGGACAAUGACCGAGAGUCGCAGCGUUGAAGAAGCUUCGUAAGGCCUUCGUAUAGAGAAGCUCGCUGCCCGCUGAUACAAUCACUAGUUUGCAAUGUUCUUGGGAACUACGAGCAGCGGACGUGGUGAAUGCAAAGAGCUUGGAGCUAGCCAAUCCAUGGCUCUUCCUAGGUACGUUUAGAUGUUUAGAUCCAGUUUUCUGUGAAUUAUUUAUAUUUGUGAUCAUGCUGAGAUUAUAUCUUUAUGUUUGUGUAUUGUUUUAAAAUAGUAUUGUUGGCCCACGUACAAGCGCCUGGUCUGCCAUCUACGGUGCUUGGGAUUGUUGUGGCUCAAUGGACUGGCCACUCAGAAUCCAAUCAAAGGCUUUUUAAGGUCUUUCCUUUUUUCUUUUUUUUUUAAGCCGGAUACCGUAACACAAUUAGGAUCUCAUCAAAAAAAAUUAGUCAAAAAACAUUAUUUGAAUUUUUUACCAAAGACCUAUCGAUGUAAGAACAAACACAUACCUGUAUAGAUCUUCACAAAUACAUUAUCCAAUUCUUGAAUAAAUACAAUUACUAGAAUCACUGCUGUAGAAUUCCGACGAGCCCUUCUUGGUGUUGAGGCUCAAGGGUUUUCAUCAGUUUUCAGUAGGGUUAUAAACAUAGAUAAAGCCAGGUAGGAUAGUUUGGGUUGGAUCACGACUCAUGUAGAUUAGGCUAUAAGUAAUUAGGUUAAGCCAAGUAUUGGUCAAUCCUGGCAGUGCUAUAGCCCUAACUAACCCGACUCAACCCGGCCUAGUGACCAUCAUAAAUAUGUUUGAUUUAGUCGGAUUCAGCCUCUUCUCCCAUCACCAUACUCCUGCUUUGCCGACUAAAAAGCCCAAUGCCUCCAACAAAAAAAAGGACCAGAUCAGGGAAACCCACAUAAGCCGGGCAUACGGUAGGAGUGGCAAGUCAAGAACAACUCAAAAAUUCCUCACCUCGUGAAAGCUCUUUCUUUCUCCAGUCAAACUCGAACUCUUCUUAGAAUUCUUGUGCUUCCAAUAUCUCUCAUUGCACCAUCCCUUGUGCUGAUAAGAAUUGUCUUCCCCCUAGUCUUACCAGGUUGAAGGGCAGCAUUAUGUCACGCUUCUUCAGAAAAAAGAAAACUUCUCCUUGGUUCGUGCACUCAAAAGGCGAUCCAGAGACGUCGACAAUCAAUUCCUACGACCUGGUUGCAGUGCUCGAUCACAGCGAUCUAGAGAACCCCAACGAAGUACUCUUUGAGUUGCAGUUCAAGGAGAAAAUCCGGUGUGUUUUGCGUCCAUGCACCAAUGAGGCCGAUGUCUUGCUGAGGGAAAGCGAGUUUCCGGUGGAGGAGAAGACGUUCUCGGAGUGGAUGCAUAGGUUCUUCAGUUCGGAGCUGUCGAAGAUGGCCAUGGAUGGAAUGCUCUCUGAGAUGUGCCUGGGUUCAGCGAGCCGUGAGUACUUUGCAUCUGAGAUCUCUUCUUUUGCUCAGAGGAUGGUGGAGAAGGUGGGUGGCGAAGGGAAAGGGAAGCUGGUUAUAUCUGCAUCCAUGGAGGUAGUCACUACAAUAUAUGAUGAUGAAAGGGCCGAGGAGGGGUCUUGAUCAGAAGGAAUGGUGAUAAGAGAAGAGUGGCAGCUGCAUAAAAGUUAUAGCAAUUAAGCUCAUGUAUAACUAUUAACAUGAAAGAAGACAGUCAAACUGUGUCAUUGUAGAAGGAUUAGCGAAUAUUGUUCAUUAUAGUAAAAUAUAAUUAGAGGUUGUAUAUUAUUCGUUGAUUGUUUUCUUUUCAUCGCUUUUGACUUUUGUUUUUCUACAAAUUAGUGAAAUCCUGCUCAUUAUAUUGAUGUGGAAGAUAGUCUUUAUACCAAAACUUCUGCCAUUCGCUCAUUGUUGAAAGCAGUAAAUAUUUGCUCCCAAUAGUUUGAAAGUUUUCUAAAAAAAAAAAAUACAAAAGUAAAAUGGCUUCAUUAUAUAGGUAUGGUAUGGUCCAAUGUUCUUAUAUUCCGAAAAUAAAAAUAGACAAUCAAAGCAUUAUCAAACAAAACUUCUUUUUGAUUGAGGAGAGAUGUCUAAUCAUAGUUGACACCACGGCAUAAAAAUGAAGAUGAUUUUUAAGUAAAGUUAUUGAAUUAGAAAUCAAAUCGAAUCUCUCAACCAUCCGAGCAACAAUUAGUUUGAAGUAAUUUAUCAAAAUAAUAAAAUUAUACCUGUUAUUCAAAACAUCUCACUUCCUCGCUAUUUUAAUCAUUAAUUCUUUCCAAUAAAAAUAAAAAUAGACAAUUCCAGAUAUAAAACUAUAUAUAUAUAUAUAUUCAUAACUAAAGAAAUAUAUAUAUUAUUUUAUGCAUUUAAUACUUCUAAAAUUUACUCUUUAAGAAUACAAAUUAAUAAAUCUUACAUAUUUUCUACACUAUAUACAACUUGUCUUUCAUUUCUUAAAAAUUAAAUAAGCCAUGGCUAUUUUUUAUUUAUACUAUAAUUAAGGGGUAAUGCAGGAUGUAGAUCAAUAUAUUUUAGAAAGUAGUAUUUAACAUAAAAAUUGCAAAUAAUUUUCAUCAAAAAUAAAAAAUUAUAAAUAGUUAUGUAUCUAUAUUAUAUUUUGUACUUAUGAAAUUUAAAUUUUUAAAAAUAUUUUUAAUUAUAACAAGACUGAAGUGUCGACUUGGUGGUUGGACCAAUAAUUUGAUUCGACCACUUAAUCAGAUAUAUCACCAAUAUGGUUUCUACAAAUAUGUGUUCGAUAUUAGGAAACUCGCUUUGAUAAUUCUUUCAAUUGCAGUGCAUAAUAAUUAAGUAGUAUGUAAAUUUAGUUCAUUCUUGUUCCAAUUUUAUCGUAUUCUUAUCCUGUUAUCCAUAUCCAACUUGAUUGGUGUCGUGAUAUUUGACUUCAGACGCAUAGUUGACCGAUAAUCUGAACCUUGGAUUCGUGUCAUGUCCGUAUAGGUCAGAUCACCCAACUCAAUCAAGUCCUUAAUCCCAAAAAAUCCAAGCCGUCCAUCCAAUUCGCUCUAGUUUCUUCUUUCGCAAGACACGUACGCGGAAACCCGCCGACACCGCUUAUAGCCUCUGGGGAGCGAACGCCAUUGCCUUCUUCUUCUCCUUCCCCCAGUUCACCGCCUUCUCUCUCUUUCUGUCCGGAAACGAAAUCAAUCUCUAUUUCGCAGCAAACCCCCGAUUUCUUGAUCCCCUUCUUCUCUUUUUCUUUGGAUUGUUUGGGGCUUGAGGUGGAGCGGAGGAGGAGAGAUGAAUUUUAAGAACGCUAGGGUUCCGAAGCUCCCCAGCGCCGGCUCGGUGGGUACGUUCGUCAAGGUGGCGCUCCUUGGCGGCGCCGGCGUCUACGCCGCCCUCAACAGUUUCUACAACGUCGACGGUGGUCACCGCGCCAUCGUCUUUAAUCGGAUUUAUGGUAUCAAGGAAAAGGUUCGAAAUGCUUUAUAUUUGGAGGUCUUUUCUUUUAUUUUUUAAAUACUGAGUCUUAAAUUGAGUCCGUUACUGGAUUACUUCGUUUUUUAUUUUGGUUGGUACUUUUAUACGAUCCGGUGCUUGAAGGAAAACCCCUCAUUUAAGUUUUUUGAAACGUAUCAUUAUUACGCUCCUCUUUGGAAUUAUUCUCUUGAAGAACUGUGUAUUACAUAAUGAGAUGAUGGGUUGGUAUCUGUUCUUGUAGAUAAUUGACUAUUUCUUGUAUAUGCUGGCAAAUUGUAAAUGGCUAUACUAGGUGCUUGUUUCAUGCAUAAAACAUUUUGGAUUCACCAUGAAUGUGCCACUUCAAGCGGAAUGGUCGUUUUCUUUCUUUCUUUCUUUUUCCUGUUUAUUGUGGUUCUGUGAAUGGAUUUUGCUGUAGCUAAUUUGUACAAUGUGAAUUUGGAGAUAUGUUAAUUUGUAUGCACUUCUCUUGUAGGAUCGUUUUGUUUCUUAUCAGUCUUGAAAGUUGGCUAUGUUCAGCCAUUUUCCUUGCUUGUCUAUGUAUUUAUUAUUUUGAUUCAUAUGUAUUUAAAGGCAUUUAUUUGGCAGUGUUUUAGUUUUUAUCUGGAGGAUGGAUUGGAGCAUAUGAGGAUUUGUUAAAGUCGAAUAUGAAUAGCUUGGUUGGGGCUUGAUGCUUAUUUGUUAUGGUGUCUAAUUGGAGCUUAUAUGCAGGUUUAUCCAGAAGGGACACAUUUGAUCAUUCCCUGGUUUGAGAGACCUAUCAUAUAUGAUGUUCGUGCCCGUCCUCAUCUUGUAGAGAGCACUUCUGGUAGUUACGAUCUGCAAAUGGUAUCAUUCCUUUUCACCAGUAAAAUUGAUCUUUAAUCACAAUUUUUGUAAUGUACAUUUUAUUGGCAUAUAGUUCCUACUAAUGUUUAACUACUGUAUUUUGACCUUUUUUUUGGUUGGGGGGGAGGUGGUGUGUUAAUUGAUGCUUCAACCAUUUAGAUGCACAAAUGAUUGUACUGCAAGUUAUCUACAUGUGUUAGCUUGCUAAUUUGUCCGUGUUCUAUAUAAUCAAUGGCCCUAACUUAGCAUUCUUGGAAGUAACAUCAAACUUACUUUCAGAAAUGAUGGAAGUAAUCUUUAUUGCUUGAUGAUUAUUUUGCUUAUAUGAGAUUUAGAGCAAUUUAUUGGAAAUUUAAAUUAGAGAUGUGUUUGAAAUCUAACUACUUUGAACUAUUCAACGUACACACAAAUGUUGAACAAUUUUGGGUGUGAGUGGUGAUAUUUUUAAUGCUGCAUUGAGGUUUGCCUUAGUGUCAUCUUUUAGUGCCUUUCUUAAGCUUAACUUUGGCAUUGCUCAUUCCGAUCUGGGGCUUGAUGAACUGGAUAGGAGCUGUGCCAUGGAGAUUAAAGCUCCUUACAAGUCCCCCUUUCAGAUGAGAGAUUUGGUGAUUUGUGACUGUUUUAUAUUGAUCCAUAUCCAGGUCUAUUCUGAUGGGGAAUCCUGUGGUAUUUACUGGUGACUGGUGUAUCUUUUGGUGAGCUACUAUGUUUCAUUGAGAUUUGACAGCUGACAGAAGGUUUUGUUUUCCUAGAAUGCCUACAGUGUGACAAUCUUCCAACUCCCAACCAUCACAUCUUACUCCCAAGCACUGCUUUCUUGAUCAUUACCAACUGUGUUCUAGUUAAAAUUGAUUAGACAAAUGUUACAGUUUUUUCUUGAAAAUGACCAAGACUUGCAGUGUUUUUAUCCUGCCGAAUAGCUUUGAUUAGUUUGAUUCCUUUUAAAGUCUGAAACAUUUGAUUUGUUGCAGAUAUUGAAUUACAGAUGAAGACAAGAUAAUUUCCCUUUGUUAUAUAUGCCACUGAAAUUUCUUGAUAUUGGUUUUUGAUAGAGUAAGAGGUGCAGCAACAUCUAUGAAGAUCUCCCUUGUAUUAAUUUUUAUGACAGAAGGCAUCCAAAAUAUGUUACAUAUCUUGUUGUUGAUGAAGAUUUCCCAUUUGACUUGACCUUCUCUCAAUGCUGAACAUAUUAUAUGAUCCCUUUCUCUUUUUAUUUAUAUUCUUAUAUUUUUUUCUUUAAUAUUGUUAACCUUAACAUGGCCACUUCAUGUCUUAGUUGCUGCUAACUUCAUUUGCGUGAUUCAACCAAACAACAUGUCAUGAUUGAUCAAGAAUAAUAUCAUUACUAAAUGACAAUUUCAUCAAUUUAUGCUUUAGGUUGCUGGUUGGCAAGUAGUUAGUCAUAUCUAUAUCUCUGUGCUUUAACUACUUAUCUUUUAGGCUUUUGCAAAGUCAAAUUACCUUAGUCUUAUGAGUAUCUCUGUAUUAUGAUUGCUGGAACCUGUAUUUUUGCUUAGGUAAAUCUUGGGCUUCGGGUUCUUACUCGACCAUUUCCAGACCGUUUGCCUACAAUAUACCGUACUCUUGGAGAGAAUUACAAUGAAAGGGUUCUCCCAUCAGUUAUUCAUGAAACUUUGAAAGCUGUUGUAGCGCGAUACAAUGCCAGCCAGCUGAUCACACAAAGAGAGGUACUCUGGAACAACUCAUUUAAAAUAUUUUUUGUACCCUGUAAUUUGUUGUGGUCUAUCAUGUAAUUAUACAUAAGAAAAAAAUAGUAUGUAGUUUAUAGAAAAAUUGAUUGAAGAAGUUAAUCAUAUUCUACAGGCUGUAAGUAGGGAAAUACGGAAGAUAUUGUCUGAGAGGGCUGCAAAUUUCAACAUUGUGUUGGAUGAUGUAUCUAUUACAGCCUUGAGCUUUGGGAAGGAGUUCACUCGUGCAAUUGAAGCUAAACAGGUGGCAGCACAGGAUGCUGAGCGGGCCAAGUUCGUUGUGGAAAAGGCUGAGCAAGAUAAGAGAAGUGCUAUUAUUAGAGCAGGCUGAGCAAGAUAAGAGAAGUGCUAUUAUUAGAGCACAGGUGAGCUUGGGUUAUAUGAAGUCUUAUAAUGUUGAAGUAUUUCUUUCAGUAACUUUCAUAGUAGUCAGUAGCCUAUGCCUUGUAUAUGGUGAUUGUUAAAAUUGAGCCUCUAUCUGCUGCCUUCUUUAUGUGCUUGCGUUGAACCGAUAUGUAGUAUGGACUGAACCCUUAACAGUCUGGAUUUUUUGCAGAUCAUGGUCCUUGAUUUUUUUUUUUAAAAAAAAAAAUCAAAAUUUUAGUUGUUGAUUUGUGAAAGAUCUAGGAAAGACUUGGUAAAAAAAUAUCAGUGACCUGCAUGGCAGUUGCUUGCUGGCUGUUGCAGCUAGUGAAUAUGUAGUGGCACUGGGAACGGCCACCAACUGGUUUUGAUGGUUAAGAACUACUUGUAAAUCAGAUGUACCUAUAUCGCUUAGGGCACUUGGCAAUUUGUCAAUCAGGAUCAGUCUACGAAUUACAAUGCAUUGACUAGAAGAAGAUCCUUGCACAUGUUUUGACCAUGUGAGUAUUAACACUGAAGUGUCCAUGCACAUUACCGUGAUGCAGUCCUUGAGAUAAGCCGAGAUAGAUAUUCUAUCAUCCAGUUUCUCAGGCUAAGGUUCCUUCCAUUUUGAAUUAGUUUCUAUUUGCUCUGGUAUGCUUGGGCUGGUCAGCAACCUCUUUCGCAUUCUGUUGGCAUAUGUUCAAAGGACAAUAUAGGAUUGAGCUUUUUGAAGCUGGGAAAACUGAUUUCAUGUUUCAUAAAACCAUUCAUGGGCAUGCAUUUCGAAAUCUUUUCUUUUGCGCAUAUUAUGAUUGUUUGUUUUUUCCUUGUAUCUGGGCAAUCAGAUGGCAUGUUGACCUAUGCAUGGGCUUGUCCCUAUGCAUCUGCUUGUACUCAUUGUUUUCCUGCCUAUCAUGUUAUCAGGGUGAGGCCAAGAGUGCUGAGCUUAUAGGUCAGGCAAUUGCAAGCAAUCCAGCAUUUGUGGCUUUAAGACAGAUUGAAGCUGCACGGGAGGUGGCACGGACAAUUGCAAAUUCUGCUAACCGUGUGUUCUUGAAUUCUGAUGAGCUGUUGUUGAACCUUCAGGAUUUGAAUGCGGAGGGAACAACCAGAUUGAAGAAAUGAACAAGGGAUGCCUUUUACCCUUCUGUAUGUGGUAAAAGAGUAACUUAGAAUGGUUGAAAGGACUGAUGAUAUUUCGGAUAAUUGACGGGUUCCAAAAAAAUUGAUCAGUUCCCUUUUUUUCUACCAAAUAAAAGAUCGAACUUGAAGGAAAAUUUGCUGAAAAUUUAUCUGCCUCUAUUUGUUUGGCGGGUGCUAGAGCUUUUCCUUGAAAAAUAAAAAGUUACUUUAUUUUUCACUUUAUUUUGUUGAUUGAUACUGAUGGUGGUGCUUGUGAGGUGGUGCUUGCGUGCUUGUCCCUUUCGUAGGUUGUAACAUGAGGUCCUUUAGCUGCCUGUUUGUAUGUUGGUCUCCUGAGUUGUUUGUUGACGCCACACUGUACGUACUUCCUGCUAAAAAGAUUACACUUCGUUUGGUUCAGUUCAGAAUUGAGAGUGCAGGAAACAGAAAAUAGGGCCUGUCUAUUCAUGUAGUUUUCUGUUCAGCUAUUAAACUCGAACUCUAAUCCAUCACUCUACAUAUCUAUCCUUCAAUCCAAUGGAAAUAUUUGCCAACUUUUUAGUUUCUGUAAUGCCUUUAAAGAUUUUCUCCAUGAAACAGGUUCCAAUUCUUAACCUUGGUACUCCUCUUAAUCUGGGUUUGCUUGCCACUCUUCCACCGUCAAUCCUAAUUUCUCUUUAUCUGAUUAGAUUUUUAAUUGUAAAAAACUCUUCAUCUCUAUCAGUUUGGCAACACAUUAUCAUGAAAGGUUUUUUGUUUAAAUCUAAAUUUAAUUAAAUUGUCUUGUUUGCAAAAUCUUUUGUAGCUAGGGACAUUGUGACCAGUGAAACCAAAAUUCGUCAUCAACGAGUCAUGUGUAAAACUUUAGUAUUAAAAUGUCAAAUUAAAUAGGACCAUUUAGUUCUCAAAAAGUUAUAAUGAUCGGGAGCUUGAUUAUGAUUGUAUCUAGAGAAAAGAUCAUGAUUGUGUGCAUAAUUAGCAUAGGCUCAAGAUGCUUCAGUAUUUACUUGACAGAUUGCAUGGCUUUGCACAACCAUUUUGGUAGGUGGCUAAUCUAUACAGGUACAUUAAAGAAAGUUCAGCUCCCUUCUGUAUGUGAGGGAGUUCAACUCCCCUCAAACACA
rnacentral:lncRNA from 1 species